AGUGCACUUUCCAUUGGAGACCAGCCCCUUUGACUGCGGGGUAGGAGAGGCCCGUGACCGUCGCCUGACCCCCGCUGCCAGCACAAGCCCAAGGGGCAGCUCGCCUGCUGUCCACGGCGGGUCCCCUUCCUCUGCUGCCUCCCGCCACCAUUUCGGGCCUGCUGCCUUGCCACGCGCCGUGCGUCUCUUGACUGCGCCAGGCCUGGCCAUGCUGGGCUCGCUGUCCCUGCUGGUUGUCUUUCCGGCCUUCCAGAACUGCCCAAGGCCUGGCCUCUCCCCUCCCACUCACCUGCGGUCCCGUCUGCAUUUCUCCAGUGGUGGCAGGAGGAGUGGGGACAGCUGCUCCUGCUUCAAAAUCUGCUCAGCCAUCCUAAGCUACAUGGUGGCGGGCAAAACUGUGCAACAAGGAAGGGACUUCCUCAGGAGGAAAUGUGCUCCCUGUCAGCAGGAGCCAAGUGGAGGCUGGUGGCCUUGGAACCCCACCCCACCAGCCCCUAGCGCCCGAAGCCGUAAGAGCUGCUGCCCACUCCGUGAGAGGCCCAGGGACUUGGGAGGAGACCUAGGUAGAUCACAGCAGCAGCCCCAGCCUCCCUGUCUGCAAUCACAGGAGCCAGUGCACUGAGGAGGUGCUCAGGUGCCUCCUCCAUCUCACUCUGUCCCUGCAUCUAUAGGGACAUGAAACAGACCACCUGCGUGGUGCCAGCAGUGUGCACUCACCUGUAACCACUGAGCUGGGUCUGGGGCCUUAGGGCCAUAGCAAGAAGAGGUUAAAUGGAUGGGUUGGGGAUGGAUGGAUGGAUGGAUGGAUGGAUGGAUGGAUGGGAAGCUGGGGGAACAGAGAGAGAAAGUGAAGAUUUAUUCACAGUUGACUACAUCCCUGGGCCUGCCCUCAAGGAGCCACAGUCCAGGAGGAGAGGUAAAUCACUGAAGAGCCAGUGUGCUGCAAGACAGGGCUCCUGGGAGCUCACCCCUAGCUGGGAGGUUGAGGAAGGGAGGCUUCUUGGAGCAGGUGAUGACUGAGGAUGGAACCUGAAAAGACGAGGAUAAGUCAACUAGGCAAAGAAAUUGAGACAGAAGGUGGGCAAGGAGCUGGCAUGGGAGUGGGCCUGGGGCUGGGGAGGAGAAGUGAAUGGUGUGGGAUGGGGUGAAGAGGCCACAGCAAUGUGCCAGAGCAGGGUGGGGUCAGGGAAGGUGGGAGAGGUGGGCAGGGGAGGAUCCAUGUGGGCUGCUGAGGGUAGUCAGGGGGGCUUCUGAGGGCCUAGGAUGCCCUGAUGAGGAGGUAGGUAUAUGAACUAGAUCCCCAGGGCAGUGAGGUGGUCACUGAAGGAUUUUCAAGUGGUCAGAUUUGUGUUCCAGAAAGAUCACAUGGGCUAGGUCUGUGCCAAUCUGGCUUAUUACUGUUUUCCCAGCACCCAGCUUGUGCCUGGAAUAUAGUAGGUGCUCAAUAAAUGUUUUGAAUCAAUCCACGA
rnacentral:lncRNA from 1 species